CACGUUGAAACACCGGUUCUCGUACGAUCAUCGAAGUUAAGCAACAUCGAGCCUGGUCAUUAUUUAGAUGGGUGACCGCUAGGGAAUAACAGGUGGUGCAAG
rnacentral:rRNA from 1 species